GAUGAACGCUGGCGGCGUGCCUAAUACAUGCAAGUCGAGCGAACGGACGAGAAGCUUGCUUCUCUGAUGUUAGCGGCGGACGGGUGAGUAACACGUGGAUAACCUACCUAUAAGACUGGGAUAACUUCGGGAAACCGGAGCUAAUACCGGAUAAUAUUUUGAACCGCAUGGUUCAAAAGUGAAAGACGGUCUUGCUGUCACUUAUAGAUGGAUCCGCGCUGCAUUAGCUAGUUGGUAAGGUAACGGCUUACCAAGGCAACGAUGCAUAGCCGACCUGAGAGGGUGAUCGGCCACACUGGAACUGAGACACGGUCCAGACUCCUACGGGAGGCAGCAGUAGGGAAUCUUCCGCAAUGGGCGAAAGCCUGACGGAGCAACGCCGCGUGAGUGAUGAAGGUCUUCGGAUCGUAAAACUCUGUUAUUAGGGAAGAACAUAUGUGUAAGUAACUGUGCACAUCUUGACGGUACCUAAUCAGAAAGCCACGGCUAACUACGUGCCAGCAGCCGCGGUAAUACGUAGGUGGCAAGCGUUAUCCGGAAUUAUUGGGCGUAAAGCGCGCGUAGGCGGUUUUUUAAGUCUGAUGUGAAAGCCCACGGCUCAACCGUGGAGGGUCAUUGGAAACUGGAAAACUUGAGUGCAGAAGAGGAAAGUGGAAUUCCAUGUGUAGCGGUGAAAUGCGCAGAGAUAUGGAGGAACACCAGUGGCGAAGGCGACUUUCUGGUCUGUAACUGACGCUGAUGUGCGAAAGCGUGGGGACCAAACAGGAUUAGAUACCCUGGUAGUCCACGCCGUAAACGAUGAGUGCUAAGUGUUAGGGGGUUUCCGCCCCUUAGUGCUGCAGCUAACGCAUUAAGCACUCCGCCUGGGGAGUACGACCGCAAGGUUGAAACUCAAAGGAAUUGACGGGGACCCGCACAAGCGGUGGAGCAUGUGGUUUAAUUCGAAGCAACGCGAAGAACCUUACCAAAUCUUGACAUCCUUUGACAACUCUAGAGAUAGAGCUUUCCCCUUCGGGGGACAAAGUGACAGGUGGUGCAUGGUUGUCGUCAGCUCGUGUCGUGAGAUGUUGGGUUAAGUCCCGCAACGAGCGCAACCCUUAAGCUUAGUUGCCAUCAUUAAGUUGGGCACUCUAAGUUGACUGCCGGUGACAAACCGGAGGAAGGUGGGGAUGACGUCAAAUCAUCAUGCCCCUUAUGAUUUGGGCUACACACGUGCUACAAUGGACAAUACAAAGGGCAGCGAAACCGCGAGGUCAAGCAAAUCCCAUAAAGUUGUUCUCAGUUCGGAUUGUAGUCUGCAACUCGACUACAUGAAGCUGGAAUCGCUAGUAAUCGUAGAUCAGCAUGCUACGGUGAAUACGUUCCCGGGUCU
rnacentral:rRNA from 1 species